GACGAACGCUGGCGGCGUGCCUAAUACAUGCGAGUCGAACGCUUCUUUCCUCCCGAGUGCUUGCACUCAAUUGGAAAGAGGAGUGGCGGACGGGUGAGUAACACGUGGGUAACCUACCCAUCAGAGGGGGAUAACACUUGGAAACAGGUGCUAAUACCGCAUAACAGUUUAUGCCGCAUGGCAUAAGAGUGAAAGGCGCUUUCGGGUGUCGCUGAUGGAUGGACCCGCGGUGCAUUAGCUAGUUGGUGAGGUAACGGCUCACCAAGGCCACGAUGCAUAGCCGACCUGAGAGGGUGAUCGGCCACACUGGGACUGAGACACGGCCCAGACUCCUACGGGAGGCAGCAGUAGGGAAUCUUCGGCAAUGGACGAAAGUCUGACCGAGCAACGCCGCGUGAGUGAAGAAGGUUUUCGGAUCGUAAAACUCUGUUGUUAGAGAAGAACAAGGACGUUAGUAACUGAACGUCCCCUGACGGUAUCUAACCAGAAAGCCACGGCCAACUACGUG
rnacentral:rRNA from 1 species